UACGUAGGGUGCGAGCGUUGUCCGGAAUUAUUGGGCGUAAAGGGCUCGUAGGCGGUCUGUCGCGUCAGGAGUGAAAACUCGGGGCUUAACCCCGAGCCUGCUUCUGAUACGGGCAGACUAGAGGUAUGCAGGGGAGAACGGAAUUCCUGGUGUAGCGGUGAAAUGCGCAGAUAUCAGGAGGAACACCGGUGGCGAAGGCGGUUCUCUGGGCAUUACCUGACGCUGAGGAGCGAAAGCCAGGGGAGCAAACGGG
rnacentral:rRNA from 1 species